AACGUAGGGCGCGAGCGUUGUCCGGAUUUAUUGGGCGUAAAGAGCUCGUAGGCGGCUUGUUGCGUCGACCGUGAAAACCCGGGGCUCAACUUCGGGCUUGCGGUCGAUACGGGCGGGCUAGAGUUCGGUAGGGGAGACUGGAAUUCCUGGUGUAGCGGUGAAAUGCGUAGAGAUCGGGAGGAACACCAGAGGCGAAGGCGGCGACCUGGACAGGCACUGACACUCAACUACGAAAGCGUGGGGAGCAAACAGG
rnacentral:rRNA from 1 species